rnacentral:snoRNA from 1 species
CAUUCCUAAGGUAAAAAAAAAAAAAAAAAAUGGAGGCAAAGAAAGAAAUGUAGACUUGGAGAAAUCUAGAGCCAGCUUGCUCCCUGCAGGUUCAAGAUCAACCAUCCCAAAUAG